UGGGUCAGUUGCAGGGAAUGUCAUAUCCCUAGAACCUGUGUCUGACCAAUGAGAUAUUGACAAAGGUCAAAUAUUUGAUGAAGACACUGUGUCUGAUUAUUCAUCAGGAGAAGAGGAACCUGUAGCCAGCACACAUGUCCCUUUUGGAACGAAGUCCACAUCAAAAAAAGGAGAUGGUGAGAAAAAUGUGAGGGCUCUAUACAAGAGAUAUCUUCAACUGAAAAUCGCAUACAGAAAACUAAAAAUGAGAAAAAUACAGCAGGACAUGGAACUUCAUGAACUGAGGACAACCAAAAUGAAGUUGCAGAUACAAAUACUAGAAAAACAAUUGGUAACAAAAUUCUCUUAUCUCUUUCCCAUAUGUAUAUGUGUAUGCGGGAGUAUAUACUU